GAUGAACGCUGGCGGCGUGCUUAACACAUGCAAGUCGAACGAUGAAGCCCAGCUUGCUGGGUGGAUUAGUGGCGAACGGGUGAGUAACACGUGAGUAACCUGCCCUUAUCUCUGGGAUAAGCCUGGUAAACUGGGUCUAAUACCGGAUAGGAGCGUCCACCGCAUGGUGGGUGUUGGAAAGAUUUAGCGGUUUUGGAUGGACUCGCGGCCUAUCAGCUUGUUGGUGAGGUAAUGGCAAACCAAGGCGACGCCGGGUAGCCGGCCUGUGAGGGUGACCGGCCACACUGGGACUGAGACACGGCCCAGACUCCUACGGGAGGCAGCAGUGGGGAAUAUUGCACAAUGGGCGCAAGCCUGAUGCAGCGACGCCGCGUGAGGGAUGACGGCCUUCGGGUUGUAAACCUCUUUCAGUAGGGAAGAAGCGAAAGUGACGGUACCUGCAGAAGAAGCACCGGCUAACUACGUG
rnacentral:rRNA from 1 species